UACGUAGGGGGCGAGCGUUGUCCGGAUUUACUGGGCGUAAAAGGCUCGUAGGUGGCUCGUCGAGUCGGACGUGAAAUCUCCCGGCUUAACUGGGAGGGGUCGUUCGAUACUAGCGGGCUCGAGGUCGGUAGAGGGAAGCGGAAUUCCGGGUGUAGUGGUGGAAUACGUAGAUAUCCGGAGGAACACCAGUGGCGAAGGCGGCUUCCUGGACCGAUUCUGACACUGAGGAGCGAAAGCGUGGGGAGCGAUCCGG
rnacentral:rRNA from 1 species